UACGUAGGGUGCAAGCGUUGUCCGGAAUUAUUGGGCGUAAAGAGCUCGUAGGCGGUUUGUCGCGUCGGCUGUGAAAACCUGAGGCUCGACCUCAGGCCUGCAGUCGAUACGGGCAGACUAGAGUCCGGCAGGGGAGACUGGAAUUCCUGGUGUAGCGGUGAAAUGCGCAGAUAUCAGGAGGAACACCGGUGGCGAAGGCGGGGCUCUGGGCCGGAACUGACGCUGAGGAGCGAAAGCGUGGGGAGCAAACAGG
rnacentral:rRNA from 1 species